rnacentral:rRNA from 1 species
GGAGGAUCCGAGCGUUAUCCGGAUUUAUUGGGUUUAAAGGGAGCGUAGAUGGAUGUUUAAGUCAGUUGUGAAAGUUUGCGGCUCAACCGUAAAAUUGCAGUUGAUACUGGCAGUCUUGAGUGCAGUAGAGGUGGGCGGAAUUCGUGGUGUAGCGGUGAAAUGCUUAGAUAUCACGAGGAACUCCGAUUGCGAAGGCAGCUCACUGGAGUGUAACUGACGCUGAUGCUCGAAAGUGUGGGUAUCAAACAGGAUUAGAUACCCUGUAGUCCACACGGUAAACGAUGAAUACUCGCUGUUUGCGAUAUACGGCAAGCGGCCAAGCGAAAGCGUUAAGUAUUCCACCUGGGGAGUACGCCGGCAACGGUGAAACUCAAAGGA